rnacentral:tRNA from 1 species
ACCUGGUUGGCUCAGUUGGUAGAGCACGUGACUCUUGAUCUUAGAGCUGUGAAUUUGAAUCCCACACUGAGUG